GAUGAACGCUAGCGAUAGGCUUAACACAUGCAAGUCGAGGGACCGGCGCACGGGUGCGUAACGCGUAUGCAACUUGCCUCACAGAGGGGGAUAACCCGUCGAAAGACGGACUAAUACCGCGUACUGUGAGAUAGGCAUGCGUCCCAUUAGCUAGUUGGUGAGGUAACGGCUCACCAAGGCAACGAUGGGUAGGGGAACUGAGAGGGGGAACCCCCAAACUGGUACUGAGACCCGGACCAGACUCCGACGGGAGGCAGCAUGGAGGAAUAGUGGUCAAGGGGGGAGAGCCUGAACCAGCCAAGUCGCGGGAAGGAGGACUGGCUAUGGAUUGUAAACUUCUUUGGUAGGGGAAUAUGUACCCUACGAAUAAGCAUCGGCUAACUCCGUGCCAGCAGCCGCGGUAAUAC
rnacentral:rRNA from 1 species